AUGGGGUGUGCUCCACACUGCAUGGGUUGCGGCUGCAACCCACCAGGGCUGAGAAUUGCUAGCAACACGGCCCCAUCUGUCUUCCCCCUGACCUCCUGCACCGGUGAAGUCACCACCUCCCAGGUCACCUUCGGCUGCCUGGCCAAAGGCUACUUCCCCGAGCCGGUCACCGUGACAUGGAGCCCCAAAGUCGGCUCCUCAGGCGUGAGGACCUAUCCCUCCGUGCUGCAACCUUCCAGCGGCCUCUACUCGCUCAGCAGCCAGGUCACCGUCACGGCCACCAGCUGGGAGUCUAACACCUAUCGAUGCACCGUACAGCACCGGCCCACGAGCAAAGAAGAGAUAUCACCGCCGCCCAUCAAAGAUGGAGCCUUGAGACUCGAACUUCUUCCUCUACAGCAAGCUGAAAAGCACACCGGCCACUGGGAACACAGGGACACUAACCGCAUGUCCAUGAACCCCCAUGAAGUCACACCAACGCAGCAUCAGCAAGAGUCUCGGUAA